rnacentral:rRNA from 1 species
CCUACGGGGGGCUGCAGUUAAGAAUCUUGCGCAAUGGGGGAAACCCUGACGCAGCGACGCCGCGUGGACGAUGAAGGCCUUCGGGUUGUAAAGUCCGAUAAGCGGGGAAGAAUAAGCAACGGGUAAUAUUCGUUGUGAUGACGGUACCUGCCUAAAGCCCCGGCUAACUACGUGCCAGCAGCCGCGGUAAUACGUAUGGGGCUAGCGUUUUUCGGUAUUAUUGGUCGAGAAGGGGGAUUAAGCGGGGGAUGAAAUCCCUGGGCUCAACCCAGGAACUGCAUCUAAAACUGGUUCUCUUGAGUUCGGGAGAGGAGAGCGGAAUUCCCGGUGGAGCGGUGAAAUGCGUAGAUAUCGGGAAGAACACCAGUGGCGAAGGCGGCUCUCUGGCCUAGAACUGACGCUGAAGCGCGAAAGCGUGGGGAGCGAACGGGAUUAGAUACCCCAGUAGUC